AGAGUUUGAUCCUGGCUCAGGAUGAACGCUGGCGGCGUGCCUAAUACAUGCAAGUCGAGCGAGAUGUUAGCGCAUGAACCUUCGGGGGAUUAUGCUAACGGACAGCGGCGGACGGGUGAGUAACGCGUAGGCAACCUGCCCCUGACAGAGGGAUAGCCAUUGGAAACGAUGAUUAAAACCUCAUGACACCGUAGAAGCACAUGCUUCAUCGGUCAAAGAUUUAUCGGUCAGGGAUGGGCCUGCGUCUGAUUAACUAGUUGGUGAGGUAACGGCUCACCAAGGUGACGAUCAGUAGCCGACCUGAGAGGGUGAUCGGCCACAUUGGAACUGAGACACGGUCCAAACUUCUACGGAAGGCAGCAGUAGGGAAUCUUGCACAAUGGGCGAAAGCCUGAUGCAGCAACGCCGCGUGAAGGAUGAAGGCCUUCGGGUUGUAAACUUCUGUUCUAAGGGAAGAAACAAAUGACGGUACCUUAGGAGCAAGCCCCGGCUAACUACGUGCCAGCAGCCGCGGUAAUACGUAGGGGGCAAGCGUUAUCCGGAAUUAUUGGGCGUAAAGAGUGCGUAGGUGGUUACCUAAGCGCAAGGUUUAAUUUAGAGGCUCAACCUCUACUUGCCUUGCGAACUGGGCUACUUGAGUGCAGGAGGGGAAAGCGGAAUUCCUAGUGUAGCGGUGAAAUGCGUAGAUAUUAGGAGGAACACCAGCGGCGAAGGCGGCUUUCUGGACUGUAACUGACACUGAGGCACGAAAGCGUGGGUAGCAAACAGGAUUAGAUACCCUGGUAGUCCACGCCGUAAACGAUGAGCACUAGGUGUUGGGCCCGUUAGGGCUCAGUGCCGCAGUUAACGCAAUAAGUGCUCCGCCUGGGGAGUACGCUCGCAAGAGUAAAACUCAAAGGAAUUGACGGGGACCCGCACAAGCAGCGGAGCAUGUGGUUUAAUU
rnacentral:rRNA from 1 species